AUCGCUUCUCAGCCUUUUGACUAAGAUCAAGCAUAGUAUCAGUUUAAUAUCUGAUAUGUUCUCUAUCCGAGGACAAUACAUUAAAUAGAUUUUUGGAACACAGAGAUGGACUAGGAGCUUGCGCCUUCCACUCCAUACAUCAACCUGGUAUUACAGUACUUCCAGGAACGGUGCACCAAAA
rnacentral:snRNA from 1 species